AUUGACCGCUGGCGGCAGGCUUAACACAUGCAAGUCGAGCGGGGGAAGGUAGCUUGCUACCGGACCUAGCGGCGGACGGGUGAGUAAUGCUUAGGAAUCUGCCUAUUAGUGGGGGACAACAUCUCGAAAGGGAUGCUAAUACCGCAUACGUCCUACGGGAGAAAGCAGGGGAUCUUCGGACCUUGCGCUAAUAGAUGAGCCUAAGUCGGAUUAGCUAGUUGGUGGGGUAAAGGCCUACCAAGGCGACGAUCUGUAGCGGGUCUGAGAGGAUGAUCCGCCACACUGGGACUGAGACACGGCCCAGACUCCUACGGGAGGCAGCAGUGGGGAAUAUUGGACAAUGGGGGGAACCCUGAUCCAGCCAUGCCGCGUGUGUGAAGAAGGCCUUAUGGUUGUAAAGCACUUUAAGCGAGGAGGAGGCUACUUUAGUUAAUACCUAGAGAUAGUGGACGUUACUCGCAGAAUAAGCACCGGCUAACUCUGUGCCAGCAGCCGCGGUAAUACAGAGGGUGCGAGCGUUAAUCGGAUUUACUGGGCGUAAAGCGUGCGUAGGCGGCUUAUUAAGUCGGAUGUGAAAUCCCCGAGCUUAACUUGGGAAUUGCAUUCGAUACUGGUGAGCUAGAGUAUGGGAGAGGAUGGUAGAAUUCCAGGUGUAGCGGUGAAAUGCGUAGAGAUCUGGAGGAAUACCGAUGGCGAAAGCAGCCAUCUGGCCUAAUACUGA
rnacentral:rRNA from 1 species